UAGGAUGUAGCUGUCAGCUGCUGCUCUAAUAUCUGCCAGCAUGGCUCUAUGAUCCCCACCGUGAUGACAAAGGACUAAACCUCUGAAACUAAUAGAAAAGAUAUGUAAGCGAAGGAAGGGAAAACCCGACGGCUUUGAUGGCAGUUGCUUCCAUUUCUUGCAACCUCAGGAUUUUUGAAGUUCAAAGUUAAGAGCCUUUGAUCAGGAAGAUGAUGUUUAAAUCCACCCCAGAAUGAGAGGUAACUGCACAGGAGCAAACGUCG